CUAACUACGUGCCAGCAGCCGCGGUAAUACGUAGGGUGCAAGCGUUGUCCGGAAUUAUUGGGCGUAAAGAGCUCGUAGGCGGUGUGUCGCGUCUGCCGUGGAAACCUACAGCUUAACUGUGGGCGUGCGGUGGAUACGGGCAUCACUUGAGUUCGGCAGGGGAGACUGGAAUUCCUGGUGUAGCGGUGGAAUGCGCAGAUAUCAGGAGGAACACCGGUGGCGAAGGCGGGUCUCUGGGCCGAUACUGACGCUGAGGAGCGAAAGCGUGGGGAGCGAACAGGAUUAGAUACCCCAGUAGUC
rnacentral:rRNA from 1 species